CCUACGGGAGGCAGCAGUAGGGAAUCUUCCGCAAUGGACGAAAGUCUGACGGAGCAACGCCGCGUGAGUGAUGAAGGUUUUCGGAUCGUAAAGCUCUGUUGUUAGGGAAGAACAAGUGCAAGAGUAACUGCUUGCACCUUGACGGUACCUAACCAGAAAGCCACGGCUAACUACGUGCCAGCAGCCGCGGUAAU
rnacentral:rRNA from 2 species